ACGGGUGAGUAACGCGUGGGAACGUGCCUUCUGGUUCGGAAUAACCCUGGGAAACUAGGGCUAAUACCGGAUACGCCCUUAUGGGGAAAGGUUUACUGCCGGAAGAUCGGCCCGCGUCUGAUUAGCUAGUUGGUGGGGUAACGGCCUACCAAGGCGACGAUCAGUAGCUGGUCUGAGAGGAUGAUCAGCCACACUGGGACUGAGACACGGCCCAGACUCCUACGGGAGGCAGCAGUGGGGAAUAUUGGACAAUGGGCGCAAGCCUGAUCCAGCCAUGCCGCGUGAGUGAUGAAGGCCUUAGGGUUGUAAAGCUCUUUUAUCCGGGACGAUAAUGACGGUACCGGAGGAAUAAGCCCCGGCUAACUUCGUGCCAGCAGCCGCGGUAAUACGAAGGGGGCUAGCGUUGCUCGGAAUCACUGGGCGUAAAGGGCGCGUAGGCGGCGUUUUAAGUCGGGGGUGAAAGCCUGUGGCUCAACCACAGAAUGGCCUUCGAUACUGGGACGCUUGAGUAUGGUAGAGGUUGGUGGAACUGCGAGUGUAGAGGUGAAAUUCGUAGA
rnacentral:rRNA from 1 species